UACGUAGGGUCCGCGCGUUGUCCGGAAUUAUUGGGCGUAAAGAGCUCGUAGGCGGUUUGUCGCGUCUGCUGUGAAAUCCCGAGGCUCAACCUCGGGUCUGCAGUGGGUACGGGCAGACUGGAGUGCGGUAGGGGAGAAUGGAAUUCCUGGUGUAGCGGUGGAAUGCGCAGAUAUCAGGAGGAACACCGAUGGCGAAGGCAGUUCUCUGGGCCGUAACUGACGCUGAGGAGCGAAAGCGUGGGGAGCGAACAGG
rnacentral:rRNA from 1 species